GAGUGCAUAUUUGUGCUAUACUAUCUUGAGGCAAUUGUCAUACUAAGACACUGCCAACGGCCAUGUGUGGUGCAGAGCAUGAAGGUCAAGGAAUGGCUUGAACGGAAACACGCAGAUGAUGAUUCAAUCGUUUUUGUAAAGGACCACAAGACGGCUGCACAUUUUGUGGUCUCAAUUGUCCUGUCCAAGAAGGAGGAGGCGUGGUUUGAGAAAUAUUACAACAAAGUGCGGCCACAGCUCCUUGCUGGCGAAAGGAAACGUAAGCGAGAUGAGCAGGAUGAAAAGGAUGGAGAUGAUUUUUUCUUUGUGUCCUCCCGCGGUAAGCCAAUUAACAAUGCAGCUGGUGAUCUGAUAAAGCUCCAGCAAAAGUGCAACGUCCCCCAGGUGAGCAGCCAGGUUGUACGGAGGGUAUUUGAGACAGCAGCUAACCGCCUGGAUGACCCUCAGAAGAAAGCAGUUUCUGACUACCUGGGAUGAGGACUCCAAAAUCGUACCAUGACCCGUUUGGUGAGAUGUUUCAUAUGUUUUUUAGUGGAUCAAUUCUUGGCAUGUAUGGAUAAACUUUCUGAAUAUGAUGCGUGGCCUUUGACCUUUGGGGGGUGGUGGGGCGGCGGGUGACUCCUAAAGCUUACAGGGCAUCUGCCUUCAGAGACACAUAUGACAUGUCCCUGUUUGGUGAAAUGUUUCAUCUGUGUGUUUGUUUGUGCUGAUGGCUCUUUAAAGGAUAGGGAUGAGGACUCCAAAAGCGUGAAAUGACCCAUUUUGGUGAAAUGUUUCAUAUGUGUUUUUUAGUGCUGAUUUUUGUUUUUGUUGUGUAGCUGUUUUGCAACUUGUUCUAGCUUGUGUAACUUAAAUUGAGGUUCUGUGGUGAUAUCCUGUUUCUUAUCUUUAGAGAUAUAUCAAUUAAAAAUCUUAUUCAUUCUA